UCAUUUUAAAAUGAAUUUGAUGAAUGAUGUUCCUCAUGGUUAACAUGAAGUAGUGAAUGUUGCUCCUCAU